GUUUCCGUAGUGUAGUGGUUAUCACGUUCGCCGAGCGUGCGAAAGGUCCUUGGAUCGAUGCCGAGCGGAAACA